CCAACGGCCCUCUUUAGGGCCACAAUUGGAGUGGUAGGAUUACGU
rfam:Angiostrongylus costaricensis strain Costa Rica genome assembly, scaffold: ACOC_scaffold0000674